rnacentral:rRNA from 1 species
CCUACGGGCGGCAGCAGUGAGGAAUAUUGGUCAAUGGCCGGAAGGCUGAACCAGCCAUGCCGCGUGAAGGUCAGUGCCCUAUGGGCGUUAAACUUCUUUUGUGCGGGAGCAAUAAUGGUCACGUGUGGCCAGACGAGAGUACCGUACGAAUAAGCAUCGGCUAACUCCGUGCCAGCAGCCGCGGUAAUACGGGGGAUGCAAGCGUUAUCCGGAUUUAUGGGGUUUAAAGGGUGCGUAGGCUGUGAGGUAAGUCAGCGGGGAAAUGCCCCCGGUCAACGGGGUGAAGUGCCAUGGAUACUGCCUGGCGGGAGGGCGGAUGACGUGAGAGGAAUGUGUGGUGUAGCGGUGAAAUGCAUAGAUAGCA